ACGUAAAUGUCAAUGGUUGCUACUGUUAUUGCAUUGUCAUCCCUAUCUCUCCAUCCCAGGGUGUCUCUAGACAGGGGAUGGGGAAUGGAGCUGAGACUGAGGAAUGUCUUGGAGGAGACUCUCUCCUUCAAUGCUGAGUUCGGACUCUAUCUCUCUCCCUCUCCUGGAUGGAGGAAGCAGUUUCUCAGGAACUCUCCUGGUGUUGGAGAGCCAAUCUGUGGAGGGGCUAAGUCUCUUCUCUUGUCAGCAGGAAGGUCACCAAAGUUCCAGGCCUGCUGCAAAAAGGGUCCAGCAGCAAAAGUGUUGAGUUGAAGCGAUUUGCCUGGCGGUUGAAGUGAGAUGCCCCAGAGCUCCCGGACUCUGUCACCACCCAGGCCUGUCAGUUUCCACUUUUCCCUCUGUCCAUCUCUUCUAAUGCCUUGGCUUUGGACCCAGAUGGAAGUCUACAGGCAGUGAAUUAUCCAGGAACAUAAGAAAUGGGGCACUUGCCAAAUGCCUCUGAGGCUGAUUAUGCACCUAGCUCCAACCCUAAUCUCUUGGGAAGUCGGGUGCCUUAGAUGAGCCCUGGAAGAUCCUAGAGGUGAUGAGAAAGACCUCCCUGAAGGACAACCAGCUCCCAGACCCUCACUUACACUAUAGCUUCUAUACAGAUAAGGAGUUCAGUUCCUGGGGCUCAGCUGGGUGACCUCAGUAAACAAUUGGGGAUUUAUUUAUGUGUGGCAGCCUCUAAGGUGACUAAAUUUUUCUUUUUCUGAACUAGGUUGUAUAGAAGGUAAUAGCAGUGACCAGACAGUCCAGAGAAUUCUGCCCAGUUGCAAGAUACAAUAAAAAUGUAAAUAAACAUUUUACCUUGUGAAGG
rnacentral:lncRNA from 1 species